UACUCGCUGGAAUUUAGAAGAUUGAGAGGGGAUCUUAUAGAAACUUACAACAUUCUUAAGGGGUUGGACAGGCUAGAUGCAGGAGGAUUGUCCCCGAUGUUGGGGAAGUUCAGAACAAGGGAUCACAGUUUAAGGCUAAGGGGGAAGUCUUUUAGGACCGAGAUGAGAAAAACAUUUUUCACACAGAGAGUGGUGAAUCUGUGGAAUUCUCUGCCACAGAACGUGGCUGAGGCCAGUUCAUUGGUUAUGUUUAAGUGGUAGUUAGAUAUGGCCCUAGUGGCUAAAGGGGUUAGGGGGUAUGGAGAGACGGCAGGUACAGGAUACUGAGUUGGAUGAUCAGCCAUGAUUAUAUUCAAUGGCGGUGCAGGCUCGAAGGGCCGAAUGGCCUACUCCUGCACCUAUUUUCUAUGUUGCUAUGUUUCUAUGGAUGUAGGGAGAUGGAAACUGGUACUGGGGAAAUAUUUGCAUAUUCAGAAGUCAAAUUAUCAAUGGAGGAAUUGUUGAAAAGUUGGCCUGGCCUGUGAAGAGACAUUAUCAAAUUAAUGUAAAAAUAUGUCUUGCUUAUGUCUUAUGUCUUAUAGCUUAUGCUCUGGCAAUAUAAAUACAAGAAAGUAUGCAAAAAUGCAGUGAAAUCUAAUUAUUCUAAAUUUGUUUUGUUUUUUAAGAAAUCGCAAAGCUGAAGAAAAAUAUAAAACACUUAGAGGAUUCGGCAACUGACAAAGAUAACAAAAUUACAAAACUGAAAAAAGAUGCACAAACAUCAG